rnacentral:lncRNA from 1 species
UGACGGCUGCCUUGGUGUAGAGAAUGUCAUACAUGAGGGAGAGCUCCAUCUCCAUCAGCGUCCACAAAUCCACCCUGUUCUCCCUAAGGUACGCAAGUAUUCUGAGAAAGUAUCUAUCUGGAUCAUACAUUGAAGAGUCAACCAUGGCAGACUUGCAGACGAGGAACACGGCGUGGGCACGCCGCAUGAGGAAUUCCUCCUCGUCGACUUCCUUCCCCUUGAAUCCCCCCCGAGGUAGUUCGUCUUCCUCAAGGUAAACCCGGUACAAUUGCCGCGGUUCCUCCUCACCGUCUUCUCGUUCCACCGACGACAGGAUGACCUUAAAGUUGGCGAUCCAGAGAGCCCAAGUCUUCUCAAACAUCUUGAACACGGCCACGGUGGUGACCAUGAUGGCACCCGGCAACAGCAAGGU